rnacentral:rRNA from 1 species
CCUACGGGAGGCAGCAGUGGGGAAUAUUGCACAAUGGGCGAAAGCCUGAUGCAGCAACGCCGCGUGAGCGAUGAAGGCCUUCGGGUCGUAAAGCUCUGUCCUCAAGGAAGAUAAUGACGGUACUUGAGGAGGAAGCCCCGGCAAAGUACGUGCCAGCAGCCGCGGUAAUACGUAGGGGGCUAGCGUUAUCCGGAAUUACUGGGCGUAAGGGGUGCGUAGGUGGUUUCUUAAGUCAGAGGUGAAAGGCUACGGCUCAACCGUAGUAAGCCUUUGAAACUGGGGAACUUGAGUGCAGGAGAGGAUAGUGGAAUUCCUAGUGUAGCGGUGAAAUGCGUAGAUAUUAGGAGGAACACCAGUUGCGAAGGCGGCUCUCUGGACUGUAACUGACACUGAGGCACGAAAGCGUGGGGAGCAAACAGGAUUAGAUACCCGGGUAGUC